UUAUAUGAAACAAACAGACAUUGCAGUCUACGGUUUGUACUUCCCACCUAUGACUUUACAUUUAUUAGACUUGGACAGUAUAUGGAAACAGCACCGAUAUCCUUGGAUUCUGGCUCAGACCAUUCAAAGUUACAUUCUCUUGAGCAUACAUUUAUGCUCAGCUUUGUGUCGCAACUUAAGCAUCUUUGAACGAAAUCAACCAUAUUUUCCUUUGGCAUGCACAGCUGAUGAUCGACCAGAAAAUGUGCCCGGAAAAACUUGGAUGAGGAAGAAUGCCUUAGGCUGUUUAGCAUGGAACGGAGUCUGGGCAUGAAACCGAGUCUGUGAGCGUGCUGCCCCCGUGACACAUUGCACAUGCUGGGAGCGAGGCACCAGCUUCAUCUUCAGCUCCAGCUCCAGAGGUAACCCCCGUCCAGGGCCGCCCGAUGUCAGGGCGACAAAGUAACAUUGGGUGACGGUCUGUAACGGUGCCGCUCUGAGAUUAUCCACGAGAUUCGGUAGCCGGGUAGCCAGGUGAAGGGAGACCAGGGAACCUAGACCGGAGAGGAGCCUGGCAAUCAAUAACUUAAAUUACAAAGUAAUUGCACAGGCAUUCACAGCACGCUGAGGCAGCUUCGCUGCGCUUUCAGCCUGCCACCAACAUCAAUAGCACUUGGAUCGCAAAGAGUCAGGGGGAGGCAGGCACAGCCUCAUCAGUAUCAGCAUCAGCAUCGGCAUCGGCAUCAGACUUGGACUCGGACUCAGACUCAGAUUGAGCAUCAUCCGCAGCACCUGAGGUUCUCGGUUCGCCGCUGGCUGUCGUCACAAAUGUUACACUUGAUGGUAAUGAUGAUGGACAGAUUGGUACCAAAGUCACUCAAAAAGCGUUGCCGUUGCCAGCUCCUCAGCCCCCCAACUCCCCAACUCCCCAGCUCCCAGCUCCGAUUCUGAUACCCAGACAGCGGAUAAAGCCAAGCCUCUGCCCCGGGCUCUGGAUCUCUGGCUCUUGGAUCUGAAGCUGAAACUCAGGCCGACUCUGGGGCUGCGGCUGAGACUGGGGCCAAGCCAAUCCGGUAGCCGGUCUGUCAGUAAGUUGAAAAUUGUUUUAAAAUUGCUGUUACAUGUCUGAAUGCAAGCAGAUUGAAUUACAAGCUGGCCGAGCAAAUGCUUUCUGAUCAACAUCACAGUCACUGACUGUGGAGCUGCUACCGACUUCGACUGCGAGCGGAGUCUAAAAUUAAAUAUUGCAGCACCCGAUGACAGAAGGGUCACUGGUGCAACUGGACUUAAGGGAGAUGGAUCCUAUAAUUGAAGAUUAUAAUAUAAAAUAUAGAGUAAAAUACUACAA